AUAAAAGGCAUCUUUUAUCUUUUAAAAGACCUAGUAAUAGGUAUGCUUUAGGAGGGGCUUGCGCCAUAUUAGUUAGUUGGUAGGGUAAUGGCCUACCAAGACGAUGAUGUGUAGCUGGACUGAGAGGUUGAACAGCCACAUUGGGACUGAGACACGGCCCAAACUCCUACGGGAGGCAGCAGUAGGGAAUUUUCGGCAAUGGAGGAAACUCUGACCGAGCAACGCCGCGUGAAUGACGAAGUACUUCGGUAUGUAAAGUUCUUUUAUCAAGGAAGAAAAGCAAAUGGCGAACCAUUUGUUUGCCGGUACUUGAUGAAUAAGCCCCGGCUAAUUAUGUGCCAGCAGCCGCGGUAAGACAUAAGGGGCAAGUGUUAUCCGGAAUUAUUGGGCGUAAAGGGUGCGUAGGCGGUCUAGUAAGUCAGUGGUGUAAUGGCAACGCUUAACGUUGUCCGGCUAUUGAAACUGCUAAACUUGAGUUAGAUAGAGGCGAGUGGAAUUCCAUGUGUAGCGGUAAAAUGCGUAAAUAUAUGGAGGAACACCAGAGGCGUAGGCGGCUCGCUGGGUCUUAACUGACGCUGAGGCACGAAAGCGUGGGGAGCAAACAGGAUUAGAUACCCUGGUAGUCCACGCCGUAAACGAUGAGUACUAAGUGUCGGGUUAAACCGGUACUGAAGUUAACACAUUAAGUACUCCGCCUGAGUAGUACGUACGCAAGUAUGAAACUUAAAGGAAUUGACGGGACUCCGCACAAGCGGUGGAUCAUGUUGUUUAAUUCGAAGAUACCCGAAAAACCUUACCAGGUCUUGACAUGUUUUUGCAAAAUGAUAGUAAUAUCGUGGAGGUUACCAGAAACACAGGUGGUGCAUGGUUGUCGUCAGCUCGUGUCGUGAGAUGUUAGGUUAAGUCCUAAAACGAGCGAAACCCUUAUCGUUAGUUGCCAGCACGUUAUGGUGGGGACUUUAACGAGACUGCCAAUGAUAAAUUGGAGGAAGGUGAGGAUCACGUCAAAUCAGCAUGCCCCUUAUGACCUGGGCUACAAACGUGAUACAAUGGCUGUUACAAAGGGUAGCUGAAACGCAAGUUCUUGGCCAAUCCCCAAAAACAGUCCCAGUCCGGAUUGAAGUCUGCAACUCGACUUCAUGAAGUUGGAAUCGCUAGUAAUCGCGAAUCAGCAUGUCGCGGUGAAUACGUUCUCGGGGUUUGUACACACCGCCCGUCAAACCACGAAAGUUGGCAAUACCCCAAAACG
rnacentral:rRNA from 1 species